ACACGGAAGGGAGGUGGUUCGAUCAAUGAAUGACAGUCGGACAUGUGAGGUGGCGGCGGGCUGAUUCCCGCCUGAGCCGGCACGGCGUCGGCCAAUCCACCGUCGUCACCCAGACCCGCGAGCGCCGUCGUCCAACGGCCGCACCCUGCAGCGCAGCGUGCGAAGUGCUCGCGGGUCUGUCACGU
rnacentral:sRNA from 1 species